AUUGAACGCUGGCGGCAGGCCUAACACAUGCAAGUCGAGCGAGCGGCGGACGGGUGAGUAAUGUAUGGGGACUGCCCGAUAGGGGGGGAUAACUACUGGAAACGGUAGCUAAUACAGCAUACUAGCGGAUAACCCAUAUGGGUUUAGCUAGUAGGUGAGGUAAUGGCUCACCUAGAAGACGAUGCCUAGCUGGUCUGCGAGGCUUAGCAGCCACACGGGGACUUAUACAAGGCCAAGACUCCUCCGGAGUCAUCAGUGGGUAAUAGUGCACAAUGGGCGCAAGCCUGAUGCAGCCAUGCCGCGUGUAUGAAGAAGUCCCUAGGGUUGUAAAGUACUUUCAGCCGUGAGGCGUUACCGACAGAAGAAGCACCGGCUAACUCCGUGCCAGCAGCCGCGGUAAUAC
rnacentral:rRNA from 1 species